CCACAUCAGCCUGUCAUAUCACACUCAAAGAGUCCCACCUUCACCACAAGGAGAAGACAUGGAGAUGCAAACUGACAGAUGGAUGGAUUAAUAUCUUAGCCACCUACACAAUGUUUGAUGGACCUUAUCCAACAGUUUCUACACCAGAUCCAACCAGAACAUCCCAGGACAUUAGUACAAUGGAAUCUGAAGGGAAAUCCAGUACAUCUAUAGAGUUCCCCAUUAGACUUACCAUCUUCUUCAUUCUGCUGCUUCUGCCUGUGGUCAUUGGAAUUGUUCAUGUGGUGAGAAGGAGACAAAAUGUUGAAGAGCCCCUUGCAGCUACUCAACUUCAGCAUUUGAAAUGACGUCAAAGCGUUUCCCUUAGUACAUCAUUGCAUUUUUGGAGAUUUAAAUGCAUUAGCCUCUUUUUACCGUUUUUUUUUUUGUUUGUUUGUUUUAAUGAUACACGUGUAUGAUAUGUGAUAUGCAGUAAGUCAUUUUAUGGGCAUCCAGUUGUUUAUCUUACAACAAGACUUCUGUCUUCUGACUUUAGUCCUAAUAUAGAUAAGAAUAAUACAAAUGUAACAAUGUAAAACUAUACAGUAGACUUACUGCUACAUUCCACUCAUCCCUGAGCAGAAAUCCAUCAUGGUGAAAUAAUCAGUAUAUGCAAUCCCUUCUUUUGUUUUUCAUAUUUUGUUCAGUAACAAUCUGUCAUUCAAGC
ensembl:lncRNA